CAGUCGCCGCGGUAAUACGUAGGGUGCGAGCGUUAAUCGGAAUUACUGGGCGUAAAGCGUGCGUAGGCGGUUUGUUAAGUCUGUUGUGAAAUCCCCGGGCUCAACCUGGGAAUGGCAAUGGAUACUGGCAAGCUAGAGUGUGUCAGAGGAUGGUGGAAUUCCCGGUGUAGCGGUGAAAUGCGUAGAGAUCGGGAGGAACAUCAGUGGCGAAGGCGGCCAUCUGGGACAACACUGACGCUGAGGCACGAAAGCGUGGGGAGCAAACAGGAUUAGAUACCCGCGUAGUCCCUGUCUCUUAUAC
rnacentral:rRNA from 1 species